CCCCUAUCAGAAAAUUUUCAUGUAGAUGCCAGGUGCUGUUUGAGAAAAUGUCAUGUGUUGAAGCAAAAAAUAACAGGCCACGACUACUCCAACACUACUUUCGUGUUUUAUUUCUGCUGCCUAACAAAUUUUCCUCGUCGUGCUCUUGUUUUAGAUUUUCUUGCUGUGACAAUACCCUUCUUCUUCAUUCUCUCCAGUUUUUCUUUCCUUCCUUGUAUAUCAGCCUUGAUAACCUCAUCCCUACAUUCUUCUGACAACAGAGCUAACCUGGAAAACUUUUUUGGCCAUACUUCCCCAAGUCUCUCAUGUAUAUCUUUAAAUGCUGAUACAAAAC
rnacentral:misc_RNA from 1 species